GAUGAACGCUGGCGGCGUGCCUAAUACAUGCAAGUCGAGCGAACGGACGAGAAGCUUGCUUCUCUGAUGUUAGCGGCGGACGGGUGAGUAACACGUGGAUAACCUACCUAUAAGACUGGGAUAACUUCGGGAAACCGGAGCUAAUACCGGAUAAUAUUUUGAACCGCAUGGUUCAAAAGUGAAAGACGGUCUUGCUGUCACUUAUAGAUGGAUCCGCGCUGCAUUAGCUAGUUGGUAAGGUAACGGCUUACCAAGGCAACGAUGCAUAGCCGACCUGAGAGGGUGAUCGGCCACACUGGAACUGAGACACGGUCCAGACUCCUACGGGAGGCAGCAGUAGGGAAUCUUCCGCAAUGGGCGAAAGCCUGACGGAGCAACGCCGCGUGAAUGAUGAAGGUCUUCGAAUCGUAAAACUCUGUUAUUAGGGAAGAACAUAUGUGUAAGUAACUGUGCACAUAUUGACGGUACCUAAUCAGAAAGCCACGGCUAACUACGUG
rnacentral:rRNA from 1 species